GGGUCCCCUCCGUGGCCUCUCUCUACCCCUGGCAUGUCUCUCUUCCUGACCUUCUCUGUACCAGUAUGAGUUGGUUGGUUACAUGUUUCUUUUCUAUGCUGAUGCAUAUCUUAUUGCUAGCUUGUGUAGGAUAGGGACCCAUCCUACAUAUGAAUAGGAAUCCAUUCCUACAAAACCAAGGACUAAUCCUACAUAUGAAUAGGAAACCAAGUCCUAUAGGAAUCCUAUCCUAUAGAAAAUUUAAUCCUAUAAGGUCUCUGGGCAACUCGGCCUUCCAGGGGCUCACUCGAUUUUGUUACUUCUUAGCCAUCGGAUGCUGGUCAAACAGGACGUUGGUGUGGUGCUUUUUGUUGGAUCAUCCCGCGCGUCGUCGCAUUCUGUUUUGACCGGGCGGUGAAUUCGCAGGGGCAAAUGACCUGUGGGCUCAGGUUGUCUAGUGAUUGGCUGGGUCAGCCGUUCUUGGGUGUCUGUGCGGCCUCUCCUGGGUCAGAUGUGAGAGGAAACUGAGAGGGAAGAUCGGACGACCAGGAAACGUCUAUCUCGGGGGAUCGCUGGGAGGCCGAGAUGCCCAGAUCAAAGUGGAAAUAUCCUACCUGAACCGUUGUUGAUGCAAAGAUGUGCCACGUGAUUGUUAUAGUGAGAGCAAUGUAUGACUGCAUAUAUUCUCUUUGGACUUUUUGAACCAAGUCGCAAACAUCUUAGAAAAGGACAGUGUGUGUGAGUUUUUCUAUAUCCAGUUUGAAUUCAGAAGCAUUAUGAAUUCAUUGUGUGCUUCCCUCCUCUUCCAAACUUAGUUUGGUUCUAGCAAUAGUUGGUUACUUCUUUUACCUAUUUGCCGCUUAUGUCUCCUACUCUUCAUGGGAAGAUAAGAGUUGUAUCUAGAACUGCAGUGUUUGAUUUAAGGAUCUGCUAGGCAUGUCAUGGCAAGUAAUUUUACCUGCCAAUUGCCAUGCUCUAGCAUAAAUUAUGUCCUGUUGUAGCACCUGACAUUCAGAAACUCGGUGGCCAGGUAUCAUCCUUUAGAGAAAAUAAUACCUUCCAUUCAGAUUAUUAAUGCGUAAUAUUUUGCUUGAGAACACUACUGUGGUUUGCCAUGUGCUACACCAGCAAAAAGCUAAGGUCCUAUUUCAGUGAACUAGCUACAGAAUCAGCACACAGAUUUGCUUCUCCUGAAAGAUUUUGGUGUUUGUUUUCUCAUCCUGAAAUCAUUUUUUUUAUUUGUAGGACCUUUAGUAUUUUUCUAUAUGGUGUGGUAAAUAUUGUUAGUUCUUUUGUCUUCUCUAUUUUCUGGAGAUCUGUCAAAAGCCCUUUUAGUCGUUGCAUUAUGUAUGCCACUGCCUGCCUUGGAUCUUUGGGAAACAUGUACUUGGCCAUCUCACUCAGGUUGCAGCAGCUGGAUGCUGUUUUUUAUUUCUAAAUAAAAUGGUGCCACUGUUUUUGUCCCAACAGAAAUUACAAAGCUUAACAUUGCAUCUUAUAGCGGGUAUUUGUGGGCUGUAAAUCACAUGAAUCCAUGUUUCAAGAAACAUUGAUUUUCCUGUUAAUUUCCAUGUAAAUGAACAUUUUGGUUACUUCCAGCAACUUUUAGAUUUGAGCAUUUUGGUUUGCCAUUUAAAUAUAAUCCUAGAAUGACUACCACAUGAGAUUAAGGAACUUAUUCAUAUAACUGUAAUUACUAAUUAUUAAUUACCAUUCAUACUGUGUUUUGCAUAUUCUUCUGCUAUAAAAAAAUUAUCAUGAUAUCGCUGACAUGUGAAGUUCUACAGGGCAAUGUGUUUGUCAGUCUUGUUAUCAAUUCAGUACCGACCUUUGGCUGGCAAAGAAAGUGACACAUUUUCUGAUCAUAGUUAGCUACUACAUAAAAGGUACUCCCUCCGUUUCAAAAUAGAUGACUCAACUUUAUACUAACUUUAGUACAAAGUUAAUACGAAGUUGGAUCAUCUAUUUUGAAACGGAGGGAGUAUGACAGAAUUUUGUUGACAGAGCUUGCUGAAAAUAUCGGUCAUCAUGUAAUAGUUACACCUCUUGAGUCCAACUACGAACUCUUUCAUUAUUGGAUCUAAAGUGUUUGCAUCAAUCAGUUCAUACUCCCUCUGUUCAUCAAUAUAGGACGUUUUAGACUGACCAUACAACUCUCCAAAGCGUCUUGUAUUUAUGAACAGAGGAAGUAUUUGUUAAGUUAGCUUCUGUCCUGCACCUUUUAUAUGUGUGUCAUACCGAUAUCUGAAGGUAAAAUACUGAAACACAUAUAUUGUCUGUCAUGUUUUUUUGAAUUCAGCUUAUCUUAUGGCCUUGCAUGGUGUGCCUCCAUGGAUGGAGCUUUCCUUGGGUGCCUUGUUUAAUGUUUUACCAUGGCUGGAUCAUUAGUUGAGGCCCUUUCUAGAUAGGGGACAUUUAUAUAGUACCUAAGAGAAAGGGAACAAAAUUGGUCCGCAAGCUAUUCUUGCAUGUUUUACUCUGAGUUAGUUAAGUCUUUGUUCUAUACAAAGAUAAGCUUGUGAUUCUUUCGAAUUAUAUAAUAUUUUUCUUUCAAAUUCAGCAUAUUCUUAUUUUUUCAUCUUAAAUAUUUAGCAUAUUCUUAUAUAACCCAUGCAAUUUUGCAACAUUUAAGCUAUUGUUUCCUGAAUAUGUUGCUGUAGUUAACAAGUUUCUACUACCCAGUAUGGUCAGGAAAUUGCAAAAGAGUCGAGGUAGUAUUGAAAUUAAAUCUAGGACUUGGCUCCUUCAGGUAUUUCAAGGGAAAAACAGAAUCUGUUUAACUAAUUUUCUAUUUUGUUUAUUUAUGCAUCUGUGAACAUAGCUUUCCACUUUAGCUCAUGUAUAAACUGGAUGGCAAAAUAGACUUUGCCCAUUUCACACCUAUGUCGUCUUAUUAGAAAAAUAGAGUUUGUUUUAUAGCUGAUGCUCAAUAUGUUUUAUCCAUUGGUGAAUGCUCAACUUUAGCUCAUAAACUACUCCCUCCGUUCCAAAAUAGAUGACCCAACUUUGUACUAACUUAGUAUGGGUUUUACAUUGUUGUACAAAGUUGGGUCAUCUAUUUUGGAACAGAGGGAGUAGAUGGCAAAGCUAAUUCUUAUGGGGCUUUUGCCACUUUUUGUUUUAUGGCUGUCUACACAGCUGAGGGCAUGCUUCUUUCUUGCUAAUUGUCAAUUCUUUUGUACAGUGUCUUUCAGCUACUUAUGCUAUGCUAGGCAAUGAGAGUGUACAUAGCAUGUAUGGGUUUUACAUUGUUUUGCACAGGUAGAGAUACAUCACAUAUUCUUUUUCUCUUGACAUUGAUGGGUAUAUUGCCGAGUCCUUUCUUUUGCCACAAGCGGUAGUAGCUGUGCCAUUCGACUCAAAGGACAAAGUGUUGAUCACAAGGGGGUAGGGUUUAGGAUAUGUACACAAGAGAGUAUAUAACCAAAUUAUAUGAUGUAAUUGAUUUCUAUUUCUAUCAA